rnacentral:rRNA from 1 species
UACGAAGGGGGCGAGCGUUGUUCGGAUUUACUGGGCGGAAAGGGCGCGCAGGCGGCUUUGUUUGUCAGGCGUGAAAGCCCCGGGCUUAACCUGGGAACUGCGUUUGAUACGGCAGGGCUAGAGUUCGGGAGAGGAGCGUGGAAUUCCCAGUGUAGAGGUGAAAUUCGUAGAUAUUGGGAAGAACACCGGUGGCGAAGGCGGCGCUCUGGACCGAGACUGACGCUGAGGCGCGAAAGCGUGGGGAGCAAACAGG